UUAGAAGGAGAAGAUUUUCAAGCGCACCGUCACACCAGGAUCUGAUGGAGUCGCCCAUUUUAUCACAAAUGGAACAUGAUCAGAUUUUAAACCUGGAAGGAAAAAGCUCCAUUCACACUGGAGAGAAACUGUAUACGUGUUGUGUGUGUGGACAAGGCUUCAGCGAAUCAUCAGACCUCACAAACCACAAAUGCAGUCACACGGGGGUGAAACUGUGAAACUGUGGAAAUGUGGGGAUUGUGGGGAAGAAUUCAUUUCUGCAUCUGAGCUGGAAACUCAUCGAAUCAGUCACAUCAGUAACAGGCCACUUACCUGCUCAGUGUGUAGGGAGGGAUUCACUCGGUCAUCUAGCCUGCUGGAACGCCAGCUCAUUCACACUGACAAGAGACCAUUUCAAAGCCCAGACUGUGGAAAAUGCUUCAGAGCAUCCCAGAACCUGAUGUCCCGUCAACUAGCUCGCAUUAAUGAGAGACCUUUUAAAUGCCAAGACUGUGGAAAAUGUUAUAAAACCUCUGGGAACUUGGUGUCCCAUCAACACGUUCACACGAAAGAGAGACCCUUUAAAUACUGAGACUGGAAAAUACUAUAAAACAUCUGGGGACCUGAUGGCCCAUCAAAGUGCUCACAUGGAGGAGAGAUCUUUUAAAUGCCCAAACUGAGGGAUGUGCUUGAAAAGUCCCAGGGACCUGAUGUUGCAUCAACUUGCUCACAUUAAUGAGAGAUCUUUUAAAUGCUCAGCCUGCAGGAAAUGCUGCAAAACCCCCUGGACCUGAUAUCCCACCAACACGUUCACGCUGAGAAGAGACCAUUCAGGUGCUCUCACUCUGGGACUGGGUACAGGUGAUCAUCUGACCUCACAGAGCACCAGCAGGUUCAUAUUGGGAAGAGACCAUUCAGCUGCUCCGAGUGUGGGAGGGGAUUCACUCGGUCGUCCAACUUGCUGAGACACCAGCAAGUUCACACUGCGGAGAGAUCUUUUAAAUGCCCAGACUGCGGGAAGUGCUACAGAAGCUCUUGGGAACUGAAUUGUCAUCAACAUGUUCACACUGAGGAGAGACCUUAUAAAUGCUUAGACUAUAGGAAUCCCUGUGCAAGUUCUUGGGGACGGUUUUAUCAUUGUGUUCACAUUGAGGAGAGAUCUUGUCUAGUCGGUGGGAAGUGCUAUCGAAGUUCUGUUGAAUUGAUGUCCCAUCAACAUUCUCACAUGAUGAGGCACCUUUUCGGAUGCUUUCAUUGUGGGACUGGGUUCAGGCGAUCAUUUCAACUCUCAGUAAACCAGUGAGUUCACACUGGGUAGAAAGCAUUUACCUGCUGCAUGUGAGGAAAAAACAGUUGGGUCACUCAUCGGCCCUGCUGAGACAGCAGAGAGUCACCCUGGGGGACGGACCGUUCACCUGCUCUGUGUGGGGGAAGGAAUUCACUCACUUAUCAAUCCUGCUGAGACAACAUAGAGUUCACAGAUCUCAACGGUAAUUGGACUUUGCAGUUCAUCACAUUCAGGACUGAAAGCAAAGUUUUAAUAUUCUGGAUAAAAGGCAAAUAAAUUAGCUUUGUAUUAAACACAGUGUGGCAGGUCACUGUAAGGAUAUGAUCAUGGAGUACUUGGAAGAGUCAGCAUGGCUUCACCAAGGGGGCUUCAUGCCUGACAAAUCUGAUGGAAUUCUUUGAGGAGGUACUGAACAACUUGGACGAAGGGGAGCCAGUGGAUGUAGUCUGUUGGAUUUUCAGAAGGCAUUGACUAGGUGCCAGACAGGAAACUGCUAAAUAAGAUUAGAUUCGGGAGCUGAAAUUUGGGAUGAUGCACAGACUGAGAGAAUCAAAUGGUUCUGCCGUGAGGAAUCUUCAGACAAGAGCUGGAACCAGAGAGAAAGAGAGAGAUGAAAGCAUUAUAAUAAACCA